rnacentral:RNase_P_RNA from 1 species
CGAGUUGGCCGGGCGGCCGCGGCUACGGGAACCGACAUCCUCGAGGUGUCAGGCCCGGGGCCGAGGAAAGUCCGGACUCCACAGAGCAGGGCGGUUGCUAACGGCAACCCGAGGUGACUCGCGGGACAGUGCCACAGAAAACAGACCGCCGACGCUCAGGCGUCGGUGAGGUGAAAAGGUGCGGUAAGAGCGCACCAGCGCCCCGGGUGACCGGGCGGCUAGGUAAACCCCGCCCGGAGCAAGGUCGAAGGCCGCACCGGUGUCCUCCGGGACCACGGGUGCGGCUGCGCAGGUGUUCGAGGGCUGCUCGCCCGAGCCUGCGGGUGGACUGCUCGAGGUACCCGGCGACGGUGUGCCCAGAUGGAUGGUCGCCACCCGGCGCGCGAGCGCAGGGGACAGGAUCCGGCUUACACGCCAACUCGUCCG